rnacentral:rRNA from 1 species
ACGGGAGGCAGCAGUGGGGAAUAUUGGGCAAUGGGCGAAAGCCUGACCCAGCAACGCCGCGUGAAGGAAGAAGGCCUUCGGGUUGUAAACUUCUUUUAUCAGGGACGAAGAACGUGACGGUACCUGAUGAAUAAGCCACGGCUAACUACGUGCCAGCAGCCGCGGUAAUACGUAGGUGGCAAGCGUUAUCCGGAUUUACUGGGUGUAAAGGGCGUGUAGGCGGAGCAGCAAGUCAGAAGUGAAAUCUCCGGGCUUAACCCGGAAACUGCUUUUGAAACUGUUGCCCUUGAGUAUCGGAGAGGCAGGCGGAAUUCCUAGUGUAGCGGUGAAAUGCGUAGAUAUUAGGAAGAACACCAGUGGCGAAGGCGGCCUGCUGGACGACAACUGACGCUGAGGCGCGAAAGCGUGGGGAGCAAACAGGAUUAGAUACCCUGGUA